UAGGGGGGACAUUUGGAGUGGCGGCUGGAAGAAAGAUUCUAUGGGGAAAAGAAAGGGAAGGUGACGGGCUGAGUGAGGAGAAAAAGGGAAAAAAAUGAGAGGAAGCUACGGGCUGAGGGUUGGAGGAAAGAAAGAAAGGAAAAAGCAAAAGGGAGAAAUGGCUGAAAAGCAAGGGAGAGGGAAAGGCUGCGGAGGAAAAGGCAAGAAAAAACUGGAAACGAUAGAGAGAAUAAGAAAGGUAGGGGAGGAACAAAAAGCGAGAAAAGGAAACCAGGAGCUGCUACGGGCUGAAAGGAGGAAGCAAAAGGAAGAAAAAGAAGUUGCGGGGGGAAGGAGAGCUGAGGAAGGAAGCUACGAGUAGAAGAGCAAGGAAGAAACCAGGAGGGUUUUCAGAAAUCAACUUCUGCUCGUUUUCUUUGGACUCAACCUUGCCCAAGAAUCAUCAUCAGGUAAUCAUCACUCCAUUUCUUGUUCAUUCUAAUUCUUGAACGAAGCAGAAUACAUGAAAUCUGUGCCUUUUGGGUUCUUAUUAUUGCUUGGCAUGACUUUGCCUUUCGAUGGAUAAUUUUAUCUGGGGUGGGAGAUCUGAGGCAUUAAUCUCAUGUUGUUGUGCGGAUUGUUGAUGGGGAUGUGGUUCUUAUGGGAUUUAAUUGAUGGCCAUGUGAAUCUGGUUUGAAUGUUGCCAUUAUUCUUGAGAUUGAAUGUGUUUCUGCUGUUUUCUUGUGUUUUCCCUGCAUUUUACAGGCCAAAGUCGUUUCUUUUUUUUUACCGUUUACCUGUAUUCUAGGUAUAGACAUGUUAGAUGGUCUGUCUGCUCUUACCAUUUGGUUUCUAAAAUCUGUUUUUCACCCAAGAGACAACUAUAUCUGCCCUUUGUUGCGUUCCAUCUAACGCUUUCUGUUUCAUGGUUGGGUCUUGUUAUUUAAGGAAGGUUGAGUUCUUUUGUUUUGGCUGAGAAAUUCGUGGUUUUGACCUGGGUUUGGGGACAGCAGUUUGGGGUUUACUUGUAGCUUGAUUGAUAUAUUAUGUACGCAUGUACCGCAAGCCUUUUUCUUUCUGUUUUGAUUGUGUUUUUCAUACCCCGUCACAUAAUUGGAUCUUUUAGGAUAGGCAGUUGCAUUUCCGUGAGGUUAACAACGCUGGGUUGUGGAUUUUAAUGGGUUUUGGCUGAUUAGCUUACUAGUUGUGGUUUAACUUUGUGAAGUAUGUCUGAGUGGAAUAAAUCGAAAAAUGAUAGUAGGAAUAUUGUAGAAAUUUCUUGCUUGUUUGAAUGAUUGAAUUUCUGUGAUUUUGUUGCUCAAGAUCAGAGUUCCAAUGUUGGUUGUGAUUCUAGUUAUGUUCCGUAACGUGAAAGACUGCAUCUAAAAUCCCGCAGCUAGUGGAAAGUUGUUAGAUGAACCUGAAAUUUGCAAGUUUCUUUUUCAUUCUAAAUCUUUCUCUCCCUUGUAUGGUAUCUUGAUGAUGAAUUUAUGAAGCUUAAUGAGAACUUGGAGAUCAGAUCAUUCUUGUUGCUAGAAUUUUUGUUUUGCUGCAUAAGGUUGCUGAGGUUCCAGAGCUUCAGGUGAAAAUUUCAGAUGCAGAAAGCUUUCUUCGCAAGCUCAUGCAUGGAUUUUUUUCCAAAUCGCACUUUAAACCCCUAAUUUUUAUCUUAUGCUACUAUGGCCCAACUAAUUGGAUAACUUAAUCAAUUUUGUCCCUUUAACAUGCAAUUCUUCUUUAAUAUGUCUUAACACGACUUUUUGGAUAGAUUUUUAAUGAGUUUUGGAAUGAAUUUGAAGGGUUUAAUAACUUUUUUCUAAAUUUGUAGUUUUGAUUUUAAAUUUGUUAGGAAUCUUGGGUAAUUUGCUCGUUUAAUCAUAACAAAUAGGUUUCAUUUAUUUUUUGUGACUUUUAUUAUUUGAUUGGUAGGUUUCACUUUAAGCCCUUGAUUUUAAUUCAUUUCCUUUUGGACCCUUAAUAUUUAUAAUAAUAAUAAAUCAAUCCCUCAAACUUCUUCAAUUCUUUCAAAUGGGCCCUUGUUCGUUCCAAUUUGAUGGACAUGGGUUAUUUAGUUUAUUUGAAUGCUUUGAGUGAUUCAAUUUCUUGUUUGUUUUCAUUUCAUGUGAUUAUUUGUUAAUUAAAGUGAUGCCUUGACAUUUUCUUUGUUUUUGAAGGGUAAAUAAGUAAUUUCAUUUCAUUAAGGUAUCAAUUCAAGGGAGGUACACUCUACCACUUAUUUUGAUUUUUAUUUGACCCUAUGUGACUUUAUGUGCUUAAUUGCAUGCCUUUUGAAUGUUUUCAUUUCAUUUAUUUAUUUAUUCGCUUUAUUUAUUUUAAUUAAUUUCGUUCAAUUUUGAUUAUUCAAAAGGCAUUUAAAUUCCAAGUUGUAAUAGUUAGGGGUUUCAAGAUAUGUAUUUAGAUAGAAUAUGUAAUAGUUAGGUAUUUAUUUUAUUCCUUCCCCUUUUAGACUGUAGUUAGGGCCCCCAAAUGUAAUAGUUAGGGCUUUAUUUGCUUUAAUUGCUUGUGUGUUUUGCAUGCUUAUGUGUUAUAUGUUAUCCGCUUUCUUAGGGUCUUGCAUUCAGAUAUCAUGAUUAU
rnacentral:lncRNA from 1 species